AACGCACAUUGCGCCCUCUGGUAUUCCGGAGGGCAUGCCUGUCCGAGCGUCAUUACAACCUUCAAGCACGGCUUGUGUGUUGGACUUUGUUUUUCUAAAACAAAAACAGGCCCGAAAGGCAGUGGCGGCGCCCGAUCCGGUGCCCGAGCGUAUGGGAACUCUCUCCGCUCAAUGUGGCCCGGCCGGCGCUGGUCGAACUAUUAUUUUUUUACCGGUUGACCUCGGAUCAGGUAGGGAUACCCGCUGAACUUAA
rnacentral:misc_RNA from 1 species